GAUGAACGCUGGCGGCGUGCCUAAUACAUGCAAGUCGAGCGAACAGACGAGGAGCUUGCUCCUCUGACGUUAGCGGCGGACGGGUGAGUAACACGUGGAUAACCUACCUAUAAGACUGGGAUAACUUCGGGAAACCGGAGCUAAUACCGGAUAAUAUAUUGAACCGCAUGGUUCAAUAGUGAAAGACGGUUUUGCUGUCACUUAUAGAUGGAUCCGCGCCGUAUUAGCUAGUUGGUAAGGUAACGGCUUACCAAGGCAACGAUGCGUAGCCGACCUGAGAGGGGGAUCGGCCACACUGGAACUGAGACACGGUCCAGACUCCUACGGGAGGCAGCAGUAGGGAAUCUUCCGCAAUGGGCGAAAGCCUGACGGAGCAACGCCGCGUGAGUGAUGAAGGUCUUCGGAUCGUAAAACUCUGUUAUUAGGGAAGAACAAAUGUGUAAGUAACUAUGCACGUCUUGACGGUACCUAAUCAGAAAGCCACGGCUAACUACGUG
rnacentral:rRNA from 1 species